AUUGAACGCUGGCGGCAUGCCUUACACAUGCAAGUCGAACGGCAGCGCGGACUUCGGUCUGGCGGCGAGUGGCGAACGGGUGAGUAAUGCAUCGGAACGUGCCCUUGAGUGGGGGAUAACUAUCCGAAAGGAUAGCUAAUACCGCAUAUUCUGUGAGCAGGAAAGCAGGGGAUUGCAAGACCUUGCGCUCUUGGAGCGGCCGAUGUCAGAUUAGCUAGUUGGUGGGGUAACGGCCCACCAAGGCGACGAUCUGUAGCGGGUCUGAGAGGAUGAUCCGCCACACUGGGACUGAGACACGGCCCAGACUCCUACGGGAGGCAGCAGUGGGGAAUUUUGGACAAUGGGGGUAACCCUGAUCCAGCCAUGCCGCGUGAGUGAAGAAGGCCUUUGGGUUGUAAAGCUCUUUCGGCCGGGAAGAAAUCGUGCGGGCUAAUACCCUGCAUGGAUGACGGUACCGGACUAAGAAGCACCGGCUAACUACGUGCCAGCAGUCGUGGUAAUACGUAGGGUGCGAGCGUUAAUCGGAAUUACUGGGCGUAAAGCGUGCGCAGGCGGUUUGCUAAGACAGGCGUGAAAUCCCCGGGCUUAACCUGGGAACUGCGUUUGUGACUGGCAGGCUAGAGUAUGGCAGAGGGGGGUGGAAUUCCACGUGUAGCAGUGAAAUGCGUAGAGAUGUGGAGGAACACCGAUGGCGAAGGCAGCCCCCUGGGCCAAUACUGACGCUCAUGCACGAAAGCGUGGGGAGCAAACAGGAUUAGAUAUCCUGGUAGUCCACGCCCUAAACGAUGUCAACUAGGUGUUGGGUGGGUAAAACCAUUUAGUACCGGAGCUAAUGCGUGAAGUUGACCGCCUGGGGAGUACGGCCGCAAGGUUA
rnacentral:rRNA from 1 species